AUCUCAAGUAAGCUUUACUUUAAAAAAAUGAGUGAGGCGGACUCGGAAGAAACUCGGGCGCACUCGGCAGCACUCGGCUCGAAUACGCAUGCGCAGUCGACCACUGAAGACGUUCUUUGGCCGAGACGGAUUGGCGGCAGCGAGAAGGCAGUGCACUGUGCGAGUUACUUUAAGGCUUUGAAAAACCUGGCAAUGAAUUAUUCUGGCUGAAUUCUGUCGCUUAUCAAGCAAAAAUCUGAGUUGCAAUCAGAGUUCUUCAAAGAUCUCGACAAAUACACUCCUCGCUUCCUGGAGAAGUUCAAGACCCAGAGGGGGAAAGUGUCGGGCAGAAACUUGAAUAUCUGCAACAAGUCACACCUGGGAGUACAGAUGUGACUGGGAGGUGAACAGCAGUCCUCCGUGG